rnacentral:rRNA from 1 species
GACGAACGCUGGCGGCAUGCUUAACACAUGCAAGUCGAACGGGAAGGCCGUGCUUUGUUGCGCUGCUCGAGGGGCGAAGGGGGAAGUAACACGUGAGUAACCUGCCCUUGACUUUGGGGUAACUUCAGGAAACUGAAUCUAAUACCGGAUAGGAUCUCCUGCUGCAGGGUGGGCGUGGGAUAGUUUCGGCGGUUGGGGAUGGACUGGCGGCUUAUCAGAUUGUUGGUGGGGUAGUGGAAUACCAUGGCUUGGAAGGGUAGCCGGCCUGAGAGGGUGAAAGGACACACUACGACUGGGAUACGGCACAGCCUCGUAUGGGAGGCAGCGGUGGAGAAUAUUAUACAAUGCGAGGAAGCCUGAUGCGGCACCGCCGCGUGGGGGAUGACGGCAUGCGGGUUGUGAACCGCAUCCGCCUGUGACGAAGCGUUAGUGACGGUACUGGGUAAAGAAGCACCGGCUAACUCCGUG